CCUACGGGUGGCAGCAGUGAGGAAUAUUGGUCAAUGGACGCAAGCCUGAACCAGCCAUGCCGCGUGCAGGAAGACGGCUCUAUGAGUUGUAAACUGCUUUUGUACGAGGGUAAACGCAGAUACGUGUACCUGUCUGAAAGUAUCGUACGAAUAAGGAUCGGCUAACUCCGUGCCAGCAGCCGCGGUAAUACGGAGGAUUCAAGCGUUAUCCGGAUUUAUUGGGUUUAAAGGGUGCGUAGGCGGUCGGAUAAGUUAGAGGUGAAAUCCCGAGGCUCAACUUCGGAAUUGCCUUUGAUACUGGUCGGCUAGAGAGUAGUUGAGGUAGGCGGAAUGUAUGGUGUAGCGGUGAAAUGCUUAGAUAUCAUGCAGAACACCGAUUGCGAAGGCAGCUUACCAAGCUACUUCUGACGUUGAGGCACGAAAGCGUGGGGAGCAAACAGGAUUAGAUACCCCUGUAGUC
rnacentral:rRNA from 1 species